GUAUGGAGCAAGCGUUAUCCGGAUUCACUGGGCGUAAAGGGAGCGCAGGCGGCACGGCAAGUCCGGUGUGAAAGCCCGGGGCCCAACCCCGGGACUGCACUGGAAACUGCCGGGCUGGAGUGCCGGAGGGGUAAGCGGAAUUCCUGGUGUAGCGGUGAAAUGCGCAGAUAUCAGGAGGAACACCAGUGGCGGAGGCGGCUUACUGGACGGUCACUGACGCUGAGGCUCGAAAGCGUGGGGAGCAA
rnacentral:rRNA from 1 species